UUCAGAGAUUAGCUUCCCAGGCUAGAUGGUGUUUUUUUUAUUAGUAGCUUAAUUAACAAGUCUUCACUCAAGCUUCCAAGUACAACAUCUAAGUGAAAGUAUUUUGUUCCUAAGAAAAUCUCAGCUCUAGGUAAAUGAAAUUUUGUAGUGAUCCACAUCUUUAGGGAAAUCAUCAGUAGUAGCUUUGACUCAUCACUCUUGCAAAACCCAACACCAAGUGGAGAAAGAGAGUGGUGUGAGCCUGUGGAAGUCAUUGGAAUAGACUUGCCUUUCCUGGUCUUCUGGACUCUGCAAUGCUUAAAAGAGGUGAAUGGAGGCACUUGGAGAGGCCCAAGAAAAAAAAUGUAAGAACUAGGGCUGCCUUGAAAUUCACAGGAAGGUUUAAACUGGCUCCGACCCAAGGAGAAAGAAUCAGAUUGUGGUUGGCAAUUGACUGAAAGAGAAAGGGAAGAAAUUUAAGUCAUGUAAAAUUUUUGAAUAAAGGAGUUGGACUUAAGUUCAAUGCAUAGGAAUAAAAGAAGAAGGGAGUAAAUCCUCCUACUCAACCCUCCACCUGAAAACUACAUACACACUAAGGAUUCUGGUUCCUGGCUAAAAACCUUUCUGAUUUUCCAGGCCUGACCAUGGACAGAUACAAAGUCUUUCCCAGAAGGAAUUUACUUUCUCCUUGACUCAGGACAAGCCAGCAUCUUGAACUCCUGUGCAUAAUCCUCUUACCUCUGGCAGAGACAAUGAAGUCCCUUCCCUUUCCUGCAUUUAUGCAGUUUAAGUCUGGUUCAUCAACAAAGACUAUUGUAACUAUUUCUAAAGCCUUCUUGGGGAGAUUUCUUUACUGGAGGAUUUUCUCUGAUGACUAGAGAAAAACAGCAAUUCCAUUUCCCCAUGGAUUAAUUAAUGGAAACCUCCUCCUCUGAUCUUUUUUCAUUAGUUCUCUUUAGUGUUAGGACUCCAAGAGUCUUCAUAAAUUGUGGGCCUCCUUUGAUAAAUCUAUCAAAUUUCUCAGAAUAAAUACACAUGAAUACAGAUUCUUAUGAAGUAUUGCUUUCUACAGAUUAGGGAUUUUUUUUUCACUUCCCUACCUUCUGAAAGGAUAAUGGCAUUUUUUAAGGCCUGUUGAGGUUCCCUGAGGAAGACACAUUAACAUUGUUGCCUGUUAGAAGCAGUGCUGUGAGAAGUUUACUUUGCUGAAGAUACUUCUUUAGCACAGAUUCUAAAUGUAGACCACUACCUCACUGUUUGAGCCCACACAUACCUAAAUAGUUC
rnacentral:lncRNA from 1 species